rnacentral:lncRNA from 1 species
CAAAAGAGCGAGUUAGUGACCAAUAGAGACGUCAGGGAGAGUCUGAGCUCAACAAACACCAGGACGAGUAUUUCUUCCGCCCAGGGGGGUGGGGGUGAGGCCGAAGGCUGGGACUCCAAGCCCAGGCAGCGCCCCGCCCCCCCCCCCAAAGCAUCACCAUCUCGAUCAUCCCAACCAUUCCCAGCCCGGGGAAGAGGGUCCUGCGCCCCAGACCUCCCUCAGGUACUGAAUGCUGUGUGCUUCAAGGAUUACAAGGGUGACUCGGGUCAUUGAGUUUUCUGUGUCCUAAUCUGUCUCAUCUAAGAGACACGAUCUUGAUUCAUUCAAUAAGCAGUUACCGAGUGUCUUCUUUAUACCAGGAGCUCAAGAAACAAGGGGGGAAACAAUAGUUCUUCCCCUCCAGGAGCUUAUGUUUUAUUGGAAUCAAAUCCAAUCCUACCUAUUGAAUUCAAAUUUACCAAACAUUUUGUACCCCCAAUAUCUGCAAGACACUGUGCUAAAGACUAGGGGAAAUAUAGGGAUAUGAUUAUGAAGGUAGAAUUCCUGUUCUUGAGUUUGUAGUCUCUAGUGGAAUGUGGUGGGGAGGCAGGUAUAACAUGGGCACAGACAAAUAUAAUGAAAGACAGAGAGUAAUGCAGACAAAAAAAAAGAGAUUUUAGGGGCAUCUGGUUGAAGGAACUAGGCAUGUUUAGCUUAGAGAAGAAAAGAUUUAGGGGUGUUUAUAUAGUGGUCUUCAGGGGCAGCAUAUAAUAGAGAGAGCCUUUGGGGUCUGAGUCCAAAACCCCUCUAGACUGUGUAUCAUGAAUUGAGAUCAGAAAAAGGAAUCCAACAGGCCAUCAAAGAACUUCCUAAGAAAAAAUCCCCAGGGCCUGAUGGAUUCACAAGUGAAUUCUAUCAAACAUUCAAAGAACAGCUAAUCCCAAUACUAUACAAACCAUUUGACAUUAUAAGCAAAGAGGGAGUUCUACCAA